rnacentral:rRNA from 1 species
UGAACGCUGGCGGCGUGCCUAAGACAUGCAAGUCGAGUGGGUUUAGACCCACGGCGAACGGGUGAGUAAUACUCAGGAACUUUCUUUAAGUGGAGCAUAACCAGUCGAAAGAUUGGACAAUUCUUCAUGUGACCGCAAGGUUAAAGUCGCAAGACGCUUAAAGUGAGGCCUGAGCACCAUCAGCUAGUUGGUAAGGUAAUGGCUUACCAAGGCUAUGACGGUUAGGGGUCCCGAGAGGGAUAACCCCCACACUGGAACUGCGACACGGUCCAGACUCCUACGGGAGGCAGCAGUUUGGAAUUUUGGACAAUGGGCGAAAGCCUGAUCCAGCGACGCCGCGUGGACGAUGAAGGCCUUCGGGUCGUAAAGUCCUUUUGCUCGGGAACAAUAUUAUGAGCGUACCGAGAGAAUAAGCCCCGGCUAACUUCGU